UACGUAGGGUGCGAGCGUUGCCCGGAUUUAUUGGGCGUAAAGGGCGCGUAGGCGGCCACGCACGUCCGUUGUGAAAUCGCCCGGCUCAACUGGGCGGGGUCAGCGGAUACGGUGUGGCUCGAGCAAGCUAGGGGGCAAUGGAAUUCCCGGUGUGAGUGGUGGAAUGCGCAGAUAUCAGGAGGAACACCGGUGGCGAAGGCGGGUCUCUGGGCCGAAAUUGGACGCUGAGGAGCGAAAGCGUGGGGAGCAAACAGG
rnacentral:rRNA from 1 species